rnacentral:lncRNA from 1 species
ACUCUCGUAAUGGGAUUGCUGGGCUUGUUGGAGCAGCUCCUGACAUGCGCACACUACGAUGAAACCUGACAGGAAACUGGUAGCUUUGUGUCGUGUUGCAUGAAGACUAUACUGUUCACUGUCAAGCACUUCUGUGGCCACUGAAGAGGAGUCAGGCUCCUGGGAGAUGGCUGCUACUACCAGCCUGAAAGAAAGUGUCUGUGGUGAAGAGAGAACUCCUUUGAAAUGGCAAUUUAUGGCUGGGAAGGAAAGUGAGAUUAAAAAUACCCUUCUGUCUCUGAAGCUGCAAUGAACAAUAGUGUAGUAUCCUUUGGAAAUACCUGCUCCUGAAGUGUCUUCUCCAUAUCCUUCAGUUGCACAAUUUUCCUAAAGUGGUUUUAUUCCAGACCUUCCUUAUCAACCCCACCCUGCUCAAAAUUUGCAGUUCCAUUUCCCCCAGUCAGCACACACGUUCCACUUAUUUCAGUUUUCACAUCACUCCAGAAGCAGAAAAAUGGGUCUUGAUACAGUUAUCAAAAAUUUUAUUUUUUCCUAAAUAUCACAGAAUUAGCCAGCACUAGUUACCUUCUGCCUUCUUUAUCCCAUUAGUUCUUCCUCCUUUUUUUCCAUUCUUACUCUGUCAAGCCUGAAACAGACAACAGGAGCUAGGAAUGGACAUGAGGAAAUAAUUUCUACCUUCCUUCUACACUCUUGGGUCUCACUCCUGACUUCUUUUGACCUGGUUACAGAAUUAAUAAAGAACGGAGGAUAAUAGCAGUAGGAAGUGUCACAUAGCUGCAUGGUGAUGACUGCUGGCACCUAUUGGUAUUGCUGUAUUAAAUAUAUGCACAUGGAAGAAGUGCCUUCACCUGGGACUACUGUCUGCAACCCAGAAGGAGAGCCAACAGUAGCAUGGAUCUGCUCCUUAUUCUUCUCACUUCAUAAUAUAAGCUGAAGUCAUCAGCUUACACAUGUCACACUGGAAGCAGUGUUAUUUUUAACCUCCAUUAGUUCCUUGGUCUGGUUAACCUGUGGCAUUAGAAGCAUUUUCACAUAAUGGCAGCUACUGGAACCAAAGGAGAAGAUGGCAGGGGAAGUGGACGGACGACAAGCUUUGCUGCCAGCAGGUGCAGCAGAGCCAUAACCAGCAGUGGGGCAAGGACAGGGAUGGCUGUGUGAAACAGGAACUGCUUCUGAAUCAUGAGCAUGGUUCAGUAAUGCUUCUCUAUUCGUUGUGCAAAGUCCAUCAUUUGUCUGAGGGAUGAACAAACUCAGCUGUCUACAGCAAUGUGCAUGCAAUCAGCUUUUCUGUAAAAUACCCCAUUCAUCUUCCUUGCCCUGUUCACAAAUGCCUUCUCAGAUGUUAAAUGGCUUCCAUUUAUACUGAACUCAGAAGCUGUGCCUCUAUCAGCACCUUCUUUAGGAUUUCUAUGUUAAAGUCCCGGUCAUCAGUAUAUAAACCUGAAAAUAUAGAUGGAAAAAAAAAAAAACACUGAAAUGUCAUUGCCAUUUAUAAAAAU